rnacentral:rRNA from 1 species
GACGAACGCUGGCGGCGUGCUUAACACAUGCAAGUCGAACGAUGAGGCACCAGCUUGCUGGUGUGGAUUAGUGGCGAACGGGUGAGUAACGCGUGAGUAACCUGCCCCUCACUCUGGGAUAAGCCUGGGAAACUGGGUCUAAUACUGGAUACGACCGAUCUCCGCAUGGAGUGUUGGUGGAAAGUUUUUGUGGUGGGGGAUGGACUCGCGGCCUAUCAGCUUGUUGGUGGGGUAGUGGCCUACCAAGGCGACGACGGGUAGCCGGCCUGAGAGGGCGACCGGCCACACUGGGACUGAGACACGGCCCAGACUCCUACGGGAGGCAGCAGUGGGGAAUAUUGCACAAUGGGCGAAAGCCUGAUGCAGCGACGCCGCGUGAGGGAUGACGGCCUUCGGGUUGUAAACCUCUUUCACCAGGGACGAAGCUAACGUGACGGUACCUGGAGAAGAAGCACCGGCUAACUACGUG